rnacentral:lncRNA from 1 species
AUAAUAAUUAUGAUAAUAAUUCAUUAAUUACUUUUUGAUAAUUUGUUACAAUCUUACUCAUUUCGAUUUUGAUUCUAAGAUAAAGUAGACACAUUAAUGAUAAUCCAACUUAUUUUGAUUUCGACUAUUACAGUUUAAGUAAACACCUCAUUCUUAUUUUUAUUUCCUAUUUCCACUCCAGGCUAUUCUCAUUCAAUUCAGUUUAAUAGACGCUUCCAUUAAUUGUUUGCCUACACAUAAUGAAUACAACAAAACUUUGAAUCUUCUCGGAGGUACAUUAUAAGAUCUAUGUCUCUUCCAAUUCUCGAAAGGUCACAUUGCCCGUACGAUUUGAUCAUCAAUAAAAAGUGAAAAUAAAAUGAAUAUUGAAGAAUGGUUUCCAAUACAUUGUCAAUGUUCAUCACCAUACGUACUUGGUCACACGCUUGCAUCACAUUCUAUGAUUUAAAGGCAAUUUCUUUGGAACAACUAAACAAGUUUCAGAGAUCCAACAAAUCGUUUAUUUAUUUAUUUUCUGAAAGAUCAAAAAGCUACACUUUAGAUUAAAAAACAAUUAAAAAAAUAAAAUAAUAAUAAGAAGAAGAAGAAGAAGAAGAAGAAGAAGCUAGUAUAUAUAUGGUAUCGCAGCAGCACACAGUUAGUUAUAUACGAGAAAAGCCAUGCAUGCACAACGAAUCUAAUUAGAAGAUCGUCAUCAAUUUAUGUCGUGUACAGAAACUAAGCUUUAUUCUUCGAUUCUGAAUCCGGCGUGCAAUUCUAUUUUGCUGCUAGAUACAAUGCAAUUAACCUUACGAGCAUAUAUUUAUGUGCUUCUUCUUCUUCUUCUUCAUUUUCGUGUUUCGUUUAGGAGGAGAAUAAAAUUGAAUAUCGAUUUGAUUGAAUAUAAGAAAAAGAAAUGACAGAUAUGUUACAUGUUUUCUCCUGUAAAGUCGGCAAGAAUGUGGUCCACUUGAAUGCUAAACAGGAUUACUCGCAUAUAUAAUUACACAUAUCAAACCAAAAACAACAACAAAUAUUUGUACAUCUUCCGACUAUAUUUUUUUUUUCCUUUUUUUGAAGUAUAGAAAUUACUUUCCUACAUUCAAUUCCCUCUUUUUCUAUUCGUCACUUAGUGUCUAUUUAGUAUAAUUUAUUUAAUACGUAUAAAUAAAUUAUUUUGUCUCUAUUAGUAAAAUCUCAAAUUUUAUCAUUUUGAAUAGAUGUUGAAA